rnacentral:rRNA from 1 species
GACGAACGCUGGCGGCGUGCUUAACACAUGCAAGUCGAACGGAAAGGCCCUGCUUUUGUGGCGUGCUCGAGUGGCGAACGGGUGAGUAACACGUGAGUAACCUGCCCUUGACUUUGGGAUAACUUCUGGAAACUGGGGCUAAUAUCGGAUAGGAGCUAUUGCUGCAUGGUGGGGGUUGGAAAGUUUCGGCGGUUGGGGAUGGACUCGCGGCUUAUCAGCUUGUUGGUGGGGUAGUGGCUUACCAAGGGUUUGACGGGUAGCCGGCCUGAGAGGGUGGCCGGCCACAUUGGUACUGAGGUACGGCCCAGACUCCUACGGGAGGCAGCAGUGGGGAAUAUUGCGCAAUGGGCGGAAGCCUGAUGCGACAACGCCGCGUGCGGGAUGACGGCCUUCUGGUUGUAAACCACUUUCUCCUGAGACGAAGCGUGAGUGACGGUAAUGGGUAAAGAAGCACCGGCUAACUACGUG